rnacentral:rRNA from 1 species
UACGUAGGGUUCGAGCGUUGUCCGGAAUUACUGGGCGUAAAGAGCUCGUAGGUGGUUUGUCGCGUUGUCCGUGAAAACUCACAGCUUAACUGUGGGCGUGCGGGCGAUACGGGCAGACUGGAGUACUGCAGGGGAGACUGGAAUUCCUGGUGUAGCGGUGGAAUGCGCAGAUAUCAGGAGGAACACCGGUGGCGAAGGCGGGUCUCUGGGCAGUAACUGACGCUGAGGAGCGAAAGCGUGGGGAGCGAACAGG